GACGAACGCUGGCGGCGUGCUUAACACAUGCAAGUCGAACGGUGAAGCUCCAAGCUUGCUUGGCGUGGAUCAGUGGCGAACAGGUGAGUAACACGUGAGCAACCUGCCCCAGACUCCGGAAUAAGCGCUGGAAACGGCGUCUAAUACUGGACAUGAGAUCAGUCCGCAUGGGCAUGGUCUGGAAAGUUCUUCGGUCUGGGAUGGGCUCGCGGCCUAUCAGCUUGUUGGUGAGGUAAUGGCUCACCAAGGCGACGACGGGUAGCCGGCCUGAGAGGGCGACCGGCCACACUGGGACUGAGACACGGCCCAGACUCCUACGGGAGGCAGCAGUGGGGAAUAUUGCACAAUGGGCGAAAGCCUGAUGCAGCGACGCCGCGUGAGGGAUGACGGCCUUCGGGUUGUAAACCUCUUUCAGCAGGGAAGAAGCGAAAGUGACGGUACCGGCAGAAGAAGCACCGGCUAACUACGUGCCAGCCGCCGCAGUAAAAC
rnacentral:rRNA from 1 species